UAAACUAGGAUUAGAUACCCUAUUAUUUUAAAUGUGAAUAGUAAUGCUAAAUUAGUAUUAGUUAAGAUCUUGAAAAUUAAAAAAUUUGGCGGUAUUUUAGUCUUUUCAGAGGAACCUGUCCUGUAAUUGAUAAUCCACGAUUUAGGGAACUUUAUUUAUUAGUUUACAUAUCGUCGUAUAUAGAAUAUUUUAAAAGAAUAAUAAUAUUCAUAAGUUUUUAUUAAAAAGUAAAUCAGAUCAAGGUGUAGUUUAUAAUAAAGGAGAGAUGGGUUACAUUAAAUUUAUUUAAAGAUUAUUUUUAGGAUAAAAAUAUGAAUAUGGAUUUGAAAGUAAUUUUAAUUAAUUAGUUAAAAUGAUUUUAGCUCUAAAAUAUGUACACAUCGCCCGUCGCUCUUAA
rnacentral:rRNA from 1 species